CUCACACAUAAGUCCACGGAACCGAGCCCCCCUCUCUCUCUGCACACCACGGAACCCUAGCCCCUUUUUCUUUCUCUCUCCCAGCCAAUAGCAGCAGGAGGCCAGGAGCCAUGGCCUAGUGCCCAGUGCCUAGCGCCCAGCGCUGUCGUCGCCGACAAACUUGUCUCCUCAGCCAGCGUCCAGCCUCGUCGUCGCCGAUCCUCUUCUCCUGGAUCCCGUUUCCUCGCGUCGCUAGGUCUCAUCGCCGAACAGGUGGCAUCAGAAAUCAUCGCCUGUGGAAGCUCAACCCCGCAGCCCCGUCGCUUGUGGAAGCUCGGCGCCGUCGCAGGAGCUUGACGUCGUCUCCUCUAUUCCAGCACGCUCUCUGUGUUCAUCGUGCCUCCGUCACCGUCACUGUGCCUCCGUCACCAUCAUCGUGCCUCCGUCACCGUCUCCUCAUUCUUGUGAUUAUAGAUACUUUGGUAGUUAUAAUUAUGCCAAGCUAGAAUGAUUAGAGGGAGAUAAUGAUCAACAUUCCAAUUUGAGGUAAAAGUUCUCCAUUUUGUAUCUAUGUCAAAUUUGGUGACCUUGUCCAGUGACUUGAAGGAUCUAUGAAGCCAUUAGUCUUGUUUUGUUCUUUGUAUUGUUCUGUGUUCUUGCUUUAAAUGAUUAGCUCUGCUCACUGCUGUUGUACUGUGCUGUACUGAAAAAAAUUGAGACUGAAAUUGUCCUCAAAGCCUGAAAUUUUGAUAAUCUUUGUUAAUCUUUGGAAAAGUUUGUUGUUGUUGCUGCAUAAUUUUUUAUUGUGUUUUAAUUAUUUGUGUUGUGGCUCUGCUCUGUUUUAUUGUGUUAUCCUAGUAAAUGUUUGCACGAAAGGUGCAACAAAGAACAGAAAGUUUUACAUAUUUUGCAUUUGCUUGCAGUAUAAUUUCAAGGAUAGCUCUGUGAAAUUGGUGUAUGUACCCCAGCCACAUCCUCGGGCAAUUGCUUCUCUGUCUUGGAAAAUAAUUGUCAAAGUGGCAUGUGGGACAAAUCACACAAUGGCGGUGGAUAAGGAUGGCGACUUUGUCUACUUUUGUGGAUUUGGUGGUUAUGGAAGGUUUAUGCAUAAUUUUCAGAUUGGUUGUCAAUGUUCUGUAAAAUACAAAGAAAUCACAACAAUCAGAUGAUUCAAUUCAAAUUAGUUUUAUUUAUUUAUUUGGCUGGUUCUGUGAAUUCUGCGUGUACUGCAGGACAGCAGAGAGGGAAGCAAGCUUGAUUCUACCAAUGCCCAUAAUACAGAAGACAAUUGAUUAUCUACUUUUUCUUCUAGAUCAGCCCUAUGUUGAGAGGUUUCUUAGUGCAUAUAAAUUCUUGUGGAAUAGGAUGAGAGCAAUUAGAAUGGACCUGAGAAUGCAGCACAUUUUCUAUCAAAGAGCUAUUCUAUGCUUGAACAGAUGAUCCAAUUACACAUCAUUGCAAUGCAUGAAUUAUGUGAAUACACAAAGAAAAAGGAUUUUCUGCGGGCUUUGAUGCUCACUUCAAUAUUGAACAUAUGAACAUAACUUCGGUUGAAUUGUUUCAGAUGUAUGAUGAUCACAGAAAAAAAGGAAUACUUGUGCCUACCGAAAAAGAGUUUCGAGGCUAUUAUGCUCUCCUUAAAUUGGAUAAGCAUCCUGGUUAUAAAUUUGAUCCCAGUAUAAAUGACAAUAUUGGUGAAACUGAAGGUGAAAUUGGUGGACAUGUUUUUUCUGCAAUUGAUAUGCCAAGUCUUAGGUGUUAUUUGUAUUUUUCAUUUUUUUUAAAUUUCAAUGUGAAAUGAGGAACUGAGAUGUGUAAUGUAUAAUGAAUUUUAUAGAAGUAGGAACACAUUUGUGUAGCCAGAUUAAAGCAUCUCUAAAAAAAUGAGUGAAUACUUACUUUUACAUUAUAUUAUAAGUGAGCUUUUUUCUU